rnacentral:hammerhead_ribozyme from 1 species
AUUCAGGUGACGAGUCUCAUAUGAGACGAAACGCGCGUCCUGGAU